GGGGAUUUAGCUCAGUGGUAGAGCGCUUGCCUAGGAAGCGUAAGGCCCUGGGUUCGGUCCCCAGCCCCG
rnacentral:tRNA from 1 species